rnacentral:lncRNA from 1 species
CUCCACAUAACAUCCUUCACCACUCAACCCCCAAGACCCCACUUCAGCUACAAUAUACACACAAUCAGACGCUGUCUCCGUUGUAUAGAUUAGGAAGAAGACAGAUGAAUCGGGGGCUGACAGAUGAAGAACUUAACGCAGUUUUGCAGUUAAUUCAAUUCAGAAGAGAUUAUUAUCCUGAUAGCAAAGGCGCUGGUAAUCGUGUUUGUAUGCUGAAUUUCCCACAAAAACAAGAAGAAGAAAAUGUCAAAGAACGUGCGGGUGAAUCGUCCGACCCAGAAGACGCUUUGCCCCGAAAGAAAAAGAGGUUUAGGUCUAUUAUUGAUAUUUAUAGAAAUACAAAGCCUUUGAUGGAUCCCAAGCGAGCCAAGAAUCGAAUAUGCCCAUAAGUUUAUGUUGGGGGUUUUUGAAGAUAGAAGUCGACGAUGAUCUGAUGAAAGAGGUAAGGCUAGGUGAUGGAAAUAUAGCUUCAUUAGCCCGACUUAAUGGAUUUAGUUCUCUAGUUUUUUUCUUUUUUCUGGUCUUGUUCUCUCAUUAUCAGUGAUGGAUUAAUUUUUGUUUUGAAGCGUAAAUUACUGGGCAUCGCCCCAGAAAAUCAAGAAGGGUACUUGCUGUAAAUGAAAGGGUAAAUAAUGUUGCGUUUAUUAAAUAUUUUAAUCUCGAAAGCAAAUGAUCAAAUGUCAAAAGAAAUUUUUAUUAUUCUAGGGAAAACAGCAUUUUCCUAUCCUCAUUUUCACACAGCACAAAAACAAACUGGUUGCCAGGAGCUUAAGCAAUAGGCUUGAAUUAAUCCAUGCAUCCGCGUUUGCUCUUUUCUGCACUAAUUUUUCGAUUUGCUUUGCUUCGUUGGUAAGUUUCUGAAUUCUUCAUAUCAUUAAAAAA